ACAAUUGUCCUAGUUUGAAAGUGGUUUGCAAGAGGCAGAACCGGUUGACAUAUUUGGCCUACUAACUUAUUCAUUAUUUCGUUCAAAGUGUUUAGUUGUUUGGCCAUGUUGUCAUAAUGUGCAUUCCCAUUUUGGGUAAAUCUUUCCAUAUUAUGAAUAUUUCGAAGAUUUACCUGUUCAACGACAUCUUGUGUGAGUUCUCCAAGUAGUGCACGCAUAGUUCGAGGACUCAACUCUGUCAUUGGUUCGUAACGACUGUUACUGCUCUGAUUCUG
rnacentral:lncRNA from 1 species